GAUGAACGCUGGCGGCGUGCCUAAUACAUGCAAGUCGAGCGAACGGACGAGAAGCUUGCUUCUCUGAUGUUAGCGGCGGACGGGUGAGUAACACGUGGAUAACCUACCUAUAAGACUGGGAUAACUUCGGGAAACCGGAGCUAAUACCGGAUAAUAUUUUGAACCGCAUGGUUCAAAAGUGAAAGACGGUCUUGCUGUCACUUAUAGAUGGAUCCGCGCUGCAUUAGCUAGUUGGUAAGGUAACGGCUUACCAAGGCAACGAUGCAUAGCCGACCUGAGAGGGUGAUCUGCCACUCUGGAACUGAGACACGGUCCAGACUCCUACGGGAGGCAGCAGUAGGGAAUCUUCCGCAAUGGGCGAAAGCCUGACGGAGCAACGCCGCGUGAGUGAUGAAGGUCUUCGGAUCGUAAAACUCUGUUAUUAGGGAAGAACAUAUGUGUAAGUAACUGUGCACAUCUUGACGGUACCUAAUCAGAAAGCCACGGCUAACUACGUG
rnacentral:rRNA from 1 species